GGCAAAUAAAACUACUCUUCCAUCUGCUGCAUUGUUCAUCAUCCGAUAUCAUUCCUUCUAUCGUAAGCAAUACAUAAUUAACUCGUUUUUUUUGUUUUCAACAACGUACCUAUUGUAAUGAUGUAUGCAAACCUUACCCCUACGACUUGACGGAUAUAAUGGUUAAACUUCAUUGCUAAUCUUGAACUAUUGUUAUGUAGCUCUGCAUAAGUCAGGGGCAUAUUCUCACUUGAUGAAUGAGGAGGAUCAUGAAAACUUGAAAUGGCUUCAAAUCUUCAGGUAAGGUUUUU
rnacentral:misc_RNA from 1 species